CCUGGCCAGUGAGACCGUUUCUUUAAAAAGACAAACAAACUAAUACCCGGGAACAUGGACAAAGGCCACAGCAUAGUGGUGUAUGGUAAGAGCAGGCCCAGAGAGCGCAGAACCUGGGGAGAGAGGCAGGUCACGGAGUCUAGCUCUCCAGGAGUAGUUGGCAGGUGGAGAUGUUGAGAAGAGGUUCUCCAUGGGAUUCUGGGUUGAAGAUCGCACCACCUUGCUACCCCACUGUGCACUGUCUUUACAGAAUCACCGAAGAUUCAGCUGUAACUACCUUUGAGGCUCUAAAGGCUCGGGUCAGGGAGCUUGAACGGCAGCUAUCUCGGGGUGACCGAUACAAAUGCCUCAUCUGCAUGGACUCAUACUCAAUGCCGCUGACGUCGAUCCAGUGUUGGCAUGUGCACUGUGAAGAGUGUUGGCUUCGGACUCUGGGUGCCAAGAAGCUCUGCCCUCAGUGCAACACCAUCACAGCCCCUGGAGACC
rnacentral:lncRNA from 1 species